GACCAUCGGUGGCAUCGCUAUGCCCCUGGUGCGCGCGCGCGCACACACACACACACACACACACACACACAGUCUUCUGGCAUCUCAGACCACCUCCUUCAUGUCACUGCAAACCACCACAAAACCCACCCACCUGGUCUCCCUGCACCCCCAAAAGAGACAUGGGUGAGCUUCACUUGCUCUUUGUUUGGGCACCUGAAAUGCUAUUGCUAACUCCCCACCAGGCUGUGAUGUUAUGUAGAAGACUGCUCCACACAAUCUUUCAUAGGAGAGGCAGAGUUCAUGAGCUGUGCGUGCUCCGGUUUCCAUGAUCGUGUCCGAGUCGACCACAAGAAAGAAGAAAGAAAUCUAGAGGUCUGACGAUGCUUCACCCUCCUCCCCAAAGCAACUUCCAAAUCCUUUUGCACAUUUCCACCAUAACAUGUGGCAAACUCCUGUCCUCCCCUUCUGCAACCCUUCCCUUAAGUCUGGCCUCUGAUUGCACAGCAGUAACAAUUAAAUGGAAGGCACAAGAAGCAACGGACUAAGAUGGAGAUUAAACAAUCCGAUAUGAA